rnacentral:rRNA from 1 species
AGUGAACGCUGGCGGUAGGCCUAACACAUGCAAGUCGAACGGCAGCACAGUAAGAGCUUGCUCCUACGGGUGGCGACUGGCGGACGGGUGAGGAAUACAUCGGAAUCUACUUUUUCGUGGGGGACAACGGAGGGCAACUUACGCUAAUACCGCAUACGACCUACGGCUGAAAGCAGGGGAUCUUCGCACCUUGCGCGAUUGAAUGAGCCGAUGUCGGAUUAGCUAGUUGGCGGGGUAAAGGCCCACCAAGGCGACGAUCCGUAGCUGGUCUGAGAGGAUGAUCCGCCACACUGGAACUGGGAAACGGUCCAGAAUCCUAAGGGAGGCAACAGUGAGGAAUAUUUGACAAUGGGCGCAAGCCUGAUCCAGCCAUACCGCGUUGGUGAAGAAGGCCUUCGGGUUGGAAAGCCCUUGUGUUGGGAAAGAAAAGCAGCAGGUUAAUACCCCGCUGUUCUGAAGGUACCCAAAGAAUAAGCACAGGCUAACUUCGUG